rnacentral:rRNA from 1 species
AUUGAACGCUGGCGGCAUGCUUUACACAUGCAAGUCGGACGAGUGGCGAACGGGUGAGUAACAUAUCGGAACGUACCUAGUAAUGGGGGAUAACUAAUCGAAAGAUUAGCUAAUACCGCAUAUUAUUCGAGCGGCCGAUAUCUGAUUAGCUGGUAGGUGGGGUAAAGGCCUACCAAGGCGACGAUCAGUAGCUGGUCUGAGAGGAUGAUCGGCAACACGGGGAAUGAGACACGGUCCAGACUCCUACGGGAGGCAGCAGGGGGGAAUUUUGGACAAUGGGAGCAAGCCUGAUCGAGCCAUGCCGCGUGUCUGAAGAAGGCCUUCGGGUUGUAAAGGACUUUUGGCAGGGAAGCGGUACCGGAAGAAUAAGCACCGGCUAACUACGUGCCAGCAGCCGCGGUAAUUC